CGGAGGGUGCAAGCGUUAAUCGGAAUUACUGGGCGUAAAGCGCGCGUAGGUGGCUAAGUCAGCCAGGUGUGAAAGCCCCGGGCUCAACCUGGGAACGGCAUCUGGAACUGCUUGGCUAGAGUGCAGGAGAGGAAGGUAGAAUUCCCGGUGUAGCGGUGAAAUGCGUAGAGAUCGGGAGGAAUACCAGUGGCGAAGGCGGCCUUCUGGACUGACACUGACACUGAGGUGCGAAAGCGUGGGGUAGCAAACAGGAUU
rnacentral:rRNA from 1 species